GUCUGAACGGUAGACACAGCUGUGAAGCUGAGUUUAGGAACUGCUCAAGUCCUGGCUCACCUCCUGCGUGACCCCACUACACACAUUUGCUCUCCAAGUCCCAUAGAGCAGUGAACUAAAAUUUUGAACAAAGGCUUUGCGUUUGGUGGAAAUAGAUACUGUGUGUUAUACCUGUAGGGUUUUCUUACGCCUCUGUUCUCUGCUUCCUAUGCAGUUCUUCUGAGUAAGGUACGUGAAGACCAAUGUGCGUUUUUUUCCUGUGAAUUUUCUGAAAUGAUCCUCCAAAGCUUUUCUUUGUGAUGGCAGUAGGAAUAAUAUCUGCAGCUGGCCUAACUCCAAUAGAGGUAAAAAUACAUCCGUUGUUAAGUAUAAAGGCUUCUAGUUGUAAGAGCAAAGCUGCAGUGAGUGAGUUUUCUACUGAGAUAAGUAUUUAGAGGGUAAAGUAUUAACCAUGUAAAUCCUUCGGCUCUUGCACAACUCUAGCAGGCAUCAGGCUUAGGACAGACUGGUAACAAUUUUGGGGCUAACCUAAUUAACAUUGCUCAGCUUGUAUACCUGCGGGAGAAGAGCAGUCACAAACUACACCAAGCAAUGAUGUCAUGGGAGAUAUGUACGUACCUGCAGUAGAAGUCAUGAGUUAGCAGGAACUGAGAUGUGUUGAAAAUCAGUGCAGGCUCUUUACUGUGUAGAGAUGGAGGUGCUGAAAAAUUUGAUGAUUAUUGUUUUGACAUGAUCUCAUUCCAUGAGGUGCUCACAGCCCUGCGGGACGUGAAUUCUGGACAAUUAUACCUGGGGGUAGAAGGGAGUUGUUCAUAUGCUAAGUAGAAGAAAAUGUGCUGGGAAAAUCUAGUGGAAGUUACCAUCUCCUUUUGGUACAUAGUCUAAUCAGUGAUUCCCCGUGAAGUUUCUCUAAUAAAACUAGGAUUGGUGAGGGUUUUCUUUUUCUUUUCCUAAUCUUGAAUGUGGUAUUCUGUUCUCUAUUCAGGGAGCUGCAAGACUGGGGCUACCCAUGGAGAAGAUGACUGUAUGCAAGUGGUGACAGCAGCGCAGGCAGGAGCUUGGUGACCAGGGUGUAGUCCCAGGUUGUGAGCAGCCAGGUGGUAAUUACAUGGUGGUCAGCCAACAGUCUCAGAUGUGGUGAUGAGCGUGAUCCAGGGGGUCCAGUUGGGAAUGGCAGGAGAUGGCUCGGGAACAAGGCUGUGACAUAAGCCCAAGGUCAGUGCAGGGAAUGGGGCAGAACAUGGUGCUGCUCCCAUUGUCAGUCACUAAGGGCAGGCCUGAGGUGAAACAGAGUUCUGGAUGAAUGAGCAGAGGGCAUGUGGAUGGAAGUCCCAGGGUUUGUUGUUAUCCGUUCAGGAUCAUUAGUGUACUCGUGACCCUGACAUUCAGACAGGUUGUUUCAUUCUUGUUCCACAGAAGUUUACUUCCAUAGUCUGACAUCUCUCCUUAUUAGCUGUCUUCCUUUCUCAAGAUAUCUGAGUAACAUUGUUACUGUACUUUUCUCUUAUACAGCAGUUUCUCUACAAAGAUCAAAGCACCUAAUGAAAAUCAAGUGCAACAGACUCCUUAUUUUGACUUCAGUUUAUAGUGAAAGCUCACAGACACUUUGGUGAUGAGUGGAAGGGAGUUAAAGGUUGAGAAAGAAGUUACAAGGUGUACCGAGAAAGAUCAAAACGCCCCUGUCAGACUGAUUAUUUGUUGAAACUCUUCUGGAUGUUACCUCAUCUUUCUUAUCUCAAAAGUGCACAUUAAGAGAAACAGGGUUGAAGGUAUGAAGGAACGGUGGUGUUCUGAGAAUCAAUAAGUAGACUGCACUGCAGUAUAUAUUAUGUACAAAAAACCCUCCACAACAGUGGAAUCAUUUUACAAGUGACAUGCAGAAGCUGAAGCUGCUUGGAGGAAUGUCAUAAAAAGACUCCAGACACAGCAUCCUCUUUGAAGCAGUGUGUUUGAUCUGAUCUGACACUUCCAGGGUAUUCACACAGAACUACUUGCCAGGUACUUUUUCUCUCUUCUUCAUGUAGGUUGUUAAGCAAAAUAGCGCCAAGUUGCUACCUAGGACAGCUUAGCUGUCAUCUAGAUAGCUAGUGAUGUUUAUCCAUGAGAACUUUGACCUAAGGUCUGUAGCAUUUAUAUCUGAGUUAUAAGCAGAAGUAUAAUAACCAUUUAUAUAAAUGAUUCUAUACAUCAAUUCUAGCAUGUGGAUGAUUGGGGGAGAGGAUAUUAUUUUAUAUCACUAUCUCCUCUGUAAUUAUGAGGAGGCCAGACACACUUGACUGGGGCCCAGUUGUCUGAGAUACUGUAUAAACAGGAUGAAAACAUUGUUAACAGCUGAAAUGCUUUACAACACAAAGCUAAAUGGUAACAGUGCAAUAAAGCUCUCACAAAAAUAGGAAACAAAGGUUAGGACUGUUAAGAAGCAGGUGUUCAGGAUCCCUAAGCACCGUGGAGAGUUUAGGGAAAACCUCAGUAGAAAUGAUUAAGCCAUAGUGUGAAGAUGGACAAUAUAAUAGGUGGUUGAAUUUGCAUUGGGACUGUCUAAUACUUCAAGAUUGUAUGAGGAAAUGUGGGAAAAUGGUGAUCGUAUUCCUCAGCGUACAUAUGUGUACUUAUGUAAAGUGUCCAACGUCUAAAGAGCUUUUAUGUGCUGUACUGUGGGAGCAAAUAGCUCAGUGAAAGCACUGACCAAUGUUUAUCCAUCUUUGUGACAGUGAGUUGCAAUCUGUGUUAACUUUGGACUGUUUGAACUAGCUUGAUAGCAAUAUGGUAUCAGCUGUCUGCUUUGUAGCCAUAGCAAGCACAACUAAGAUAAGGAAGCAAUUUCUUCCUUGAUUAUUCUGGACUCCUAGAAAAACUAGUAUCUUCCUUAUUAUCAUACAAUGUUCUACUUAUUGCUAAAUAAAAAUCAGAUCUUUUUACAUCAGGAGUGGAUACUUAUCGAAUGGUUUGUAGAAUUAUUUUAAGAGGAAUUAAAAAUGAUUAGGUUUUAUUUGCAAACCGAAGACACAUUUAAGCAUACUGUGCUGUUAUUAGUGCUUUCCCAGCAUUUAGCUUGCAUGAAUUCUGCUCAGAUCAUUACCUACCAUCUCACCUUCAGGAAGUAUAACCUUGACUUGGGAUUCCUGUUUCUGACUUCAAAAAUAGGCAUGGAAGCAAGAAUAUGGUUAGAAACAAAAAGCUACACUUUUUUCUUCACCACAUUAUGAUUCCUUCCCAACUCUUCUAUCACUCUUUCCGUGCAUAUUCAAAGAAUCAUAGAAUCAUAGAAAAGUCCUCUAAUAUCAUCCAAUCCAACCAUCAACAUAUCACAACCAUGCCUACUAACCAUGUCCCUCUGGGCCCCAUCUACACAUUUCAGAAGGAAGCUUGUGGCAAAAGCAUUUCCAUAGUCCCAAUGGAUAACUGUUUGGAUGUGGUGCUCAGGGACAUGAUUUAGUGGAGGGUUGUUAGAGUUAGGGUAGUAUGGUUGGGUUGUGGUUGGACUCGAUGAUCUUUAAGGUCUUUUCCAACCUGAGCAAUUCUGAUUCUGUGAUAGAUGACAAAACCAUUGUUGUCAUAGACAUCAACUGUUCAUUAAGUAACGUCAGUUCACACAGCGUAUUUCCCCAAGUGUUGCAUGAAUGCAACAGUACUGGAAACUGUAAAGUAACAGGAGACAGUCUUUUAAUGUAUUUUGCAAUAAUUUUCCUUUUCAUCCUCAUCUUGUAGUCGUAACUAUCAUGAGAAAGAAAGACAUUACUAGUCAUAAAUAGUAUGAAUCCUCAUUCCAUUUGCAUGAAUUUGCACAAAUGAAUGUUUCUUGGGAUUGUGCAAUGGGUUUGUAAAUUAAGGGUAUUUUCUCCCUGGCCUUGUGUUUCAGAUCUCUUGAAUUCUUCCUCAAAAGAAGGCAAGCAGCUGAUAAUUCACUUCUCUGUACUGACCAUAGCACAUAUAUGAUUUUGAUUCUCCUUUCUACAACUCCUCUGAUUUGAAAUAGACAUUUUGCAGAUAUUUUUGCAAUAGCUUAACCUCAGUUUUUCAGCUCUGAUAUAAUUGAUUAGUAGACAUUAAAUUGUCAGUUUACUGCCUUUCUUUUUUACAUCACACGUUAUGGACAUAUCUCUGAGUCUCAAAGUCAAAGCUUGGAAUGAUGUAGAUUCUCUCCCUGUUGAAACUGUGGCUAAUAAACUAAUUACAUAUCACAAAAGCUGCAUUUAUACUUACAUAUGUAGUUAAAAUACAUUCAUAUGCUUUAUAAACAUACGCAUACUAAUCUAUCAGAUAAAUAUAAAUACCUCAGAAUUGUAGAGGUUGGAAUGGAUGUCUGGAGAUCAUGUAGUUCAACCCCCUGCUAAAGCAAGGUCCCUACUUUAGGUUGAAGAGGAAAGUAUUCAGCUGACUCUUGAGUAUCACCAGAGGAGACUCUAUAACCUCUCUGGGCAGCCUGUUCCGGUGCUCUGUAAUGCUCAAAGUAAAGAAGUUCUUUCUCACAUUCAGGUGGAACUUCCCGUGUUCCAGUCUGUGCCCAUUGCCCCUUGUUCUGCCACUGGGCACGACGGAAAAGAGCCCAGGCCCAUCCACCAGGCACCCACCCUGUAGAUAUUCAUAAGUACUGAUAAGAUCCACUCUCAGUCUCCUCCAGACUAGGUCUCUCAGCCUUACGCAUACAGUAUAUAUGUACAUAUGCAUAAGUCUUUACAUGUUUGAGCCAAUCAUUGUUGCCAGAAUUUUGCAUCAAGUGCUGCUCUGUGCAGGAUUGUUUCACUUACACUCUCUUUUUGCUAUUGGCUGUCCCUGCUCUGUUCACUGGACUAUGUUUGCCCAAGGUUUCAUAAAGCAGCAGGUGAGCCAGAAAAUUUUUGGAAAGAAUAAAUUGUUAAUUUAUCAGGUAACUGUUAAUUUCAGAGAUACAGUUCAAUUCUUAGUGAAUUAUUUGUGAGGAAUAUUACUGAUCAUGAAUGCCACCGUGACAGCGUCCCAUAGUUGAGAAACAAAAAUAUUUAAUAUCAGACACUCUGAUUUAUCUUCAAAAUAUUUGCACAAACAGUUAGUGGAAUGGGCAAAUACUUUUGCAUUAUAUUUUUCAAUUAAUGCCUGUUUUGGGUAGAUUAUUUUGCUCUGAUGUGUUGAAUACAAACUGUUCUUUGUGCACUACCUCACUUUUGCUCUUGCGUAUCUCUGCUUUGAGUGCAAAGCUCCAUCUAGAGAAAGCCCGGUGUAAUACCACAGAUCAUUUUCACACAGACAUGACCUUUAGAGCAAGAUGGUGUUGGCUUUGUGUGGUGGGACACUGAUUCUGAAAAGUAUUUUACAUGAUUUUGGGCACCCUACUCUGGAUGUCCCUGUUUGAGCAGAUGUUGGACCAGAUGGACCCAGAGUUACCUUCCAACCUAAACUAUUCUGUGACUCUUUAAUUCUAUGACUUGUUAGUCUUGGUAGAUAACUGUUUGCAUGUGCUAUUCCAGUGUGAGGCAAUAAUUAAAGCAUUUAUUUAGUACACUCACUAUGUAAAUAAAGAAGGAUGUUUUAGAAAGGAACAGGAGAGGUUGAUAGAGGUCUUCUGUUUGCUUCACCCAUGUCUUUGGCACAAUAAAUAAUCACUUGAAUAUAUCCAUUUCUGGUGUCCACAAUUUAAAAAAAGAUAUUGAUGUCAACACAGCAGACUGAGUAGAAAACCGGAAUGUGUACUGAAAAUAGAAUUUGUGUUGUUUAGCUCAACAAAAGGCAGACUGUAGAGUAAAGAGACAACAAGACUUGAAAGACUUCACAGACUUGAAAGGUGGGCCCGGUGAACC